UCUGCCGUUAACACGUAAACAAAUCGAACUUUAGUAUCGGGGUGUACCUGUGAGGGGGGUGGUACUCACAGGGCACGCCCUAAUUCUUGAAUUUUAUUUGAUAGGCAUUUGGCUCAUGUAUUUUAAAUACAUAUGAUAUGAGUGUUUUUGUAUUUUCGAAAUACUUUGUGUCAGUCAGCCUAUUUUUCAGACACGUUACCCCAAAUCCCAACAUUCAUGCACAUGAUCUACAGCUGUACGACUCGUGACUUUUCUGGAAUAAGAGUUCAGAGGAACAGGACAGAAAUGAGGAUAGUGGAGAGGAAAAGCAGAUGUUGGACAGGAAAAGGAAUCCCAGGUCAUCAUGGGACAGGAGAGAGGAGCAAGACAAGGGAGCAAUGGCUUAAUAUAAAGGACUGUCCGGUUGCCCGGGGCCAUUGUGAGGGACGUUUGGGCCAGUAAACAGUCUUGAUUGGGCCAGUGCUUCACCCUUGGACAUUAACAAAUAUAUAUUUCUAUAUAAUGAGG